rnacentral:rRNA from 15 species
GCUUACGGCCAUACCACCCUGAACGCGCCCGAUCUCGUCCGAUCUCGGAAGCUAAGCAGGGUCGGGCCUGGUUAGUACUUGGAUGGGAGACCGCCUCGGAAUACCAGGUGCUGUAAGCC